GAGCAUCGCCUGUAAGACAGAAAGUGAGAUCUGUAUGUCACAAUGGGAGCCUUAUUAACAUUCACAGUGUUGCUGGGAACUUUAUUUUAUGGUCACUGUGUUGAACUCACACAGCCAGGAUCCAUGGUUUUAACACCAGGGCAGUCUCUGACCAUCUCCUGUAAAGUCUCUGGGUAUUCCCUGACUGAUGGCAACUACUGUACACACUGGAUCCGACAGCCAGCAGAGAAAGCUCUGGAGUGGGUUGGAUGUGUCUGUGGCGGUGGGAGCACCUAUU